ACCUGCUGAUCCUAAAUGUAUUCCCAGGCUCUCUGGAGGGGGCUAGCUCUGUGGUCCUUACUUGUUCUUGGUGUAGGUAUUUUCAGCUGGGAGUUGCUGCCUUGGAUUACCUUCAUCCUGCACGCAGGGACAGCACGGAGAAGAGCUGGGGACUGCAGGUUCUACAGCAGGGCUGGAGGAAUCAUGCUGGGGAGCCACAGCCAGGACUGCCUGAGCUGCUGAGGGAAAGCUGCUUCCAGAGCGGGGCACAGCAGGGACCAAAGGAUGCCAUUCACUGGCUGUGAACUGGGGAUGGAUCUGACUUAGCCUUAGUGGUUCUACGAUUCUGUGUUUCAUCUGGCGUUCAUGUCCCAAACCUGCUUCCAACAUGGGCAGGCCUCAAGGAGACGGACCCAUCCUGUGCACAUCCCCAGCUCUAGGAGCUGCUUCCCCUGCUGCUGCAUGGAGAGCAUCCCUGCAGGCAGCUGGGUCAGCCCAGUGCAGUGCCACCCGCAGCAGCUUCACGUCCACUGAGCCACGCUCAAAGAAAUGCAAGAGCAGAGCUGCUGCUGACAAUGAAAUGGGAGAGACAAGUAUUUAUUCUGUUUGGACCUCCUCGAGAAGCAGAUGCACGCCGGCAGAAUGCUAAGCAGAGCGGCGGUUCGGGGAGACAAAUGUCCAGGCAGCUUUUUCUGUAAUAUCCAUUUGAAAGAAGCUUAGUGCCACGAGGCUUUCAUCUCAAUAUUCCUGAGGCCGGAUUUGAAAGUGCUUAAGGUUAAAUAUUACUCACUCUUGGAAAGAACAUCUCCAUCUGUCUCAUAAGAGGGGAAAAAAAAAAAAGCUUUCAGUCUUGGAGGUACUCAGGGAAACUUACCCAUAAACACAGUCAUUAGAGAUUUCUGAGGGAAAAAAUCCUAUAGGCUCUGCCUGAGAAGUAAUUAGCCUUUCAAAUUCAGCAAUGUUUAAUCCCACAAAGCCUUAUAUACAAAAUAUAAUCCUGUUUUUCUUCAGAGCUGAGCCGGUGAGGGAGCAUGACCCUGCUGGACCAGGCUGUGAACAGCUGGGUCCCAUUGGCCACAUCUGGGUGUCCCGAGGUGUGGGGCGAGGAGGAGGCUUCCAGCAAGUCCAGCUCACCCCAAGGACCUCGAAGGAUGCUCUGGGCUUUGGGGUGAUGACCCUGUGAGGAUGCAGCUGGCAGGAGGCACUGCGGCACAUCCCUCGGUUGCUGAGAGAUGCUUCAGCUGCUAAAUGCCCAAAUCACUUUGGAAAACUGGAUUUAAGCAGCCGGUUUUGAACACUUGUGGUAACAGAGAAAUCUGAAAUAACAUUGUGUGAUUUGGGGUGAAGUGCCCUGAGGCCUGGUGAUAAUAAUUGUAGCACUCUUUAAAAAGAAAAAUGACUUUUUUUUUCCGGGCAGUCAAAGCAGCUGACAACAUCCCAGGGGACCUCCUGCCGCUUUCGAGAGGAGAAAUUGCAGCUUUUCAGAGGCUGAGAAAUGACGCCUCUUUGCAACUCACUCUGCUCCUGUGGAUCUCAGCUCCAGCACAGCAACACGGUGCUGAGGCCGUGGGCUCAGGGCUGCCACGCUGUGCCACCAGCCAGGGGACGUGUGUGUGAGCAAUGCAACAUCUGUCAGCAGAAACAUCAGCAUCCAUUCCUAACCAUGCCAUGCCAUGAUCUGGAAGAAGCUGGUGCAAAGCUCUGCUUUGGAAAGCGUUCCUUGUUCAUCCUCAUGGUAGGAAAUGAGGUGGAUCCUGCCAACUCGGUGACACGUGGCUUGUUUCCCCUCCCAGGUGUGAGGCCUCAACCAUCCCAUGGCUGCCCCGAGAGCUGCAAGGCUGGGAGAUGAGGUCUGAAAUAGCCCAGUGCAAUUGCUGACCAUUCUGUUGGGAUGAAACCAGUCUCACUAAGUAGACUGAUUUAAGUGAGCCCUCAUCUUGUGUUCCCACAGCAGUUUCCCUGCUCCCUGCUGAGCUCAGCCUCCAAUUGUGACAUGGGAUAUCAUCUUUAAACCACAUAAAACUUGAAUUUUGUGAGACAGAAACUAAAGAGAACAAUACACUGGUAGCUGGGUGUUGACUGCUGAUAGGUGCACUGAGGAGCUAAUAAGAAAAUCUGGCUUUUAAUGCACUGAUCGUAGCCAUUUGAUUACAGUAGGAAAAAAAGUCCAACAGAAAACGCUAAUAAUGUCACAAAACUUGAAGCAAAUGAAGGAAGUUCAGAAAAAUAAAAAUACCAUAAAAAUAAAGAGCACAAAAGCAAUGUCUGCUCCUAGACAAGUAUUACUAUUGGGGUUUUAAGGCUCAUCUGGACCUGGCUGUUAAGCAACACCUGCCUCUAUUGGGCUUUGUAGCUUGGGCAAAGGGCAAAUGCAACAAGGAAGGCCGGGUAUCUCAUAGCAGCAUACAAAAGUGAGCAAAUCAAUACCAAUAAACUACUUCAGAUAGUGAUUAAUUAAUAGGAAUUAAUUUUAAAAAGAAGAGGCUAUUGACGUAAAUUGACAGAGGUGCUAACCUCAGAGCAAUUCAGAGAAAAUGUCUUUAAAACAAAGUGAUUAAGUUGUAGAAAGUAAUAAAAGGGCUGCGCUGCCUCCAGGAUGAGCUCAGCCAGCCUGGGAACAAAGUCAGGAGAGCCUCUAAUUAGAUGCUGGAGCUUGAUGAGGUAAGCUGGCUGGGUUGGCACUGCCAGCCUGGAGUUCAGUUGUGUCGCUUCUGAGUUGUGUCAUGGCUGCGAGGCCAGCAAAAUUCCUGCAGGGUGCUGACAGCUGUGGAACUGGAGAUGGAAGCAAGGAUCCUAGCAAGAAAAGGUUGGUGUUUCACCUCUCUGGAGGUCUCCAGCACUGCGGUGAUGUAACUCGCUAUUAUUAGAGGCUGCAUGGAGCAGGACCACGUAGGACCAAGGUCCACGGCCGUGGUGAGGAUGAGUCAGCCUUGGUCUUUUGACUUCUUGAGCUAUGAGAGUGUGAAUUCAUGGAACGUUUCUGAAAAUGAAAGGGAGGCACCCAAUGGCCCUUUAGGGUGGCCCUUUAGCAGGCCAAAACUGCAUAUUGGAGGUCUUCAUCUCUUAUCCCCUAUCUUCUGUGGUGUUUAGAAGCACUGGAGGACCGCUUGAAGAAAGGUGACCCUAAUCCAGUGGAAUGUAUUUCCAAAUCUUCACUAAGCCCAUCUUAUGUGAUGACCCUCCAUCCAAGCAGGUCCAUCCACAAAGAAGAAGCCAUCCCUCUCCCCACAGCCUUCCUCUGCCUUCACCCUGGAGCAAAGCCACUGAUCAGAAGCUGGAGGAAAGGGUUAACUGUGGGUGUAUUGUCUGAGAUGUAGGCCGUAUCUGAUUACUCUGUGGCUAGGGAAAGCUGAUGUUGUGUGCCACGUGCAGAGCAGUUCUGAGCUGGUUUCUGCAGGUCUGCUGAGCCACCAGAGCAGCCCCAGCCUUUAUUUUCGGUUUUGCUAUCUCUGUAAUGGAGCUGUUUACUAACAGACAGUUAAAAGCUGACUUACAUAAGGCUUCAAAAAAAAAAAAAAAAAAGGAAUUCCAGAAGUUAAGCGUUUUCAGCUCGUUUUGAAAUAGCUCAGUUAAAUGGGAGUAACAGGGAGCUGAGCCCUGCUUUGCAAAACAAAUUGGAUUCAUCUGUGCAACAAUGGGAGCUCUUGCUAAAUGGCAACUUGGUGGCUUCAGAGAAAACCCUGGCUGGGAUCUCACCCUGAAAGCUUGCUCUGCUGCCCUUCUGCAGGACACAGCCCAAGCCCCAAGCAGCCAGGGGCCGCCCCAGCCUGCAGGCUGUAUCAUCCCAGUGCCAUGCUGGGUUGGUGGAGAUGUGGGAUUCAUCUUACAGUGCUGUCAAGUUGCUCCCUCUGAGCUGAAAGGCUGAAGACAGCUUUGUCUGCAAUGGCUCACAGCGCAAGUUAUUAUUGGGACUGAAGACCUAAAAUGACCUUGUAGAAAGGAAAAAAAAAAUAAAAAUUGUUGUGGGAAUUAAGGAAAGAAGGAUCCAAGGGGUCUAUUGUUAAUGGCUGGCAUCAUUAUAAAGUUCACAAUUGGUGACUUAUUUAAAGACUGCUUUUCUGUGAAUGCUUUACUCUGUGCAAAUCCAUCUCGAAGGGAAUGACAUUCUCUCAAACUCCUCUCAACAUUGACGUUUGCAGGAACCAACCGCCUCUAAGCUCUCAUUUGAGCAAUUAAGACAAUUGCAGAAAGCAGUUCCAAAUCCUGAUCGGAGUUCUCCCAUACAAACCAGCACUCCCUGGUGGGGCUGGCAGCCUGGUCUUAGGCCCGUGUUGGUAAGCAGGAGCCAAGGAAGCGCCUUCCUCUGGGCACAGCACAAACCAAACCAGUUCUUGGCUGUUCUAGCAGAGAGUGAGGACAGCAAACUGAGCACAUGGCUCUGAAAAUUGAAUGAGGUUUUUAUAUUUCUGCUUGUAUUAUUAAUCUACAAUAUGGUCUUUUAACACCGUUCACCAACAUCAUUGUGGUUUAAGCGCAAUUUAACCUGGCAUUCCUCCUGACAGCUUGAGAACAUCGUAUUUGUGCCUGGCUCCCAUCUCAGGCUCUUUUCUUGCUCUUGUUUCAACACGUUGGUGGGUGUGGACAUCCUGCAUCUCACUUGUACCAACCAGAAGCUUUUUAUUCUUGCCUGCAUGUGCUGGUGAAUAAUGGCAAGCACCAUAGUCCAGCACAGGAAGCCCUGCGAGUGCAGCCGCCUCCAAGGCAAUAAAAGAAUCACUGCAAAAAAAUGAAAAAUAACAAAACAUCAGAGCAUGGGACUGUUCCAAAUGCCAGUUCAUCUCCGUUUCAAAUAUCAGUUCCAUUCAGUUUUAAAUGUCAGGGCCCAAUUCUCCUCCAAUUCCCGUCAAAACAGAGGCAGCGCAGCCCUCCCUUCUCCAUGGGUCCUGUGGGUCCUGCCUGCUGGUAGCACCUGGAGGUGCUUGGUCUGCUCUGCCUGCAGCGCCGAGCUUCCUCCAGCCCAAGGGAAGCCCUGGCUGAACCAGCUACAAAUAAGCCAAUAUCAGCAAAGUGCAAGGGGCAUGCAAGAGCCAGCCUGCUGCCAGCAGGCACAUCGCCCUGUGCGUCCUGAUGGCCACGGCUCUUCACAUCAGCUCUGCUGAGUCCUCUCAACUCCCAGGAACAUAUGUUGAUAGCAAGCUACAUCGAGAUUUGCAGCAAAGAGAGUUUUAUAAUAAUAUUUUACUAGCUCUAGCAUGCAUGUUAUUGUACGGUUAAGAGCAAAAUAGGAAACACAUGUGUGGAUAUUAUGUACUGCAGAAGUUAAAUUCCACCAAUGACCACAGAAAUAUUUAUGUUUAUGGUUUGUAAUGAAAAACUGAAUUAUAAUUAUGGAUUUACAGAAGUUUGAGUGCAAUACCGUCACAGCAUUUGCAAAGAAAUGCUAAUUCUCAACACUAAAGCCCCCAGUCAGUGCACAUCUUGACAACACAGAGACAUCUCACUUCAUAAAGCUUAUACAGUGUGUUCAGUAUCCAUUUUUUUUUUAUGAUCUAACUCAUGCAAAAAAUUUAAUAAAGUUGUAUUUGCUUUUCCAAAGGCAUGUAAGUGCACAUAUGUGGAAGGAUCUAUGGGGAAUGCUUCAGAAAGGGGGAAAAUUCUUGAUCAUAGAGAAGAGCGAGAUGGGAGUGUGUCCACCAAGACGCCGAGGUUCUAUCCUUGGAUUGAAGGCAUCAAGGGAGAUGUCAGCACAGCGCUUCGACUUCUUGAGACAUGAUGUCUUCUGCUGAGGAACGUGGUGGCAGAGGACACAGCAGAUGGCUGCAGAGAAUGGCCCUUCCAUUCAGGAGGCCAAGGCAGGAGUGUUGGCGUGUGAGUGACGCAUCUCAUGGAUGACUCCAAGCCUCACCUCAACUGCCUCAGUGCUGUCAGAACGGAAGUUUUGCAGCAGUGCUGUUAUAAUACAAGGGACUUAUUUUUCAGAUUUUCUUUUUCCCUAAGGAUAAGGCAGCAAAACUGAGGCUUGCUAAAGUAAACUAAUGCCUGAGCUCCACUAAUGAGCAAGCAAAUACUUUUGUAUGACUGCCUCCAAUGGUGGGUGAUGACUCUUUAUUGAUUGGGUUGAGCAAGAUCGCUCUCUAAUUACGUGAGUCACCCAUGCUCUAAAAAUGGAAGAGAAAACUGGCACCAGGAGCUGCUCAGAAGGCUGUGACACAAGCUUUACAGGACUGGAGGUCAGGAUUUCCCUUUAAAUCAAUCAUCAGCACUGGGGUUACAGGGCUGGUUGAGCUCUUCCCAUUGUGUUUUGCUGAGGUCCCAUCGGCGUGGUGCUCAGCCUGGUGCAAUGGCACCCAGCACUGUGGAUGCCCAGGCAGCUCUCCGGGCUCAAAUUCUCAUUUCCAAGAUUCUGAUGGCCCAAGCACCUUCUUGAAUGGAGGGAGGUGUUUCCUACUGGCAUCAGAGAAGAGCAUUUUAAUAAUGGGAGCCUUAAAAUUGUAUAUAGGUAUGAUAGAAUAAACUGUCAUACCGUCAGUGAAGGUAACAGAUUUGUACACGUCCCUAAAACGUUUGUGCAGACUUUGGAAUUUAAGCUUAUGGCAUUACAGUAUUUACACAAUAAUUCAAUCUAAUUGUGUAGACAAGCUGUAAAACUGCUAUAUCUCUGAUGGUUUACUGUGCGGGGGGAAAAAAGGAGAUGCUGUUAAACCUUCCUCGCUGACAUCUAAUGUUUCAGAUUUUUUAAAAUAUUGUAUAAAGACUGAGAUUUAUUUCCUAAGAUGUUUCAUUAACGGUUGUGGCAGGCAGCUGGCCUGAGGUUUGACACACAAUAAAAUCCAUGUCAAGAAUAUUAAAGAUAGUGCAAAAGAUAACUAUGAAUUUACAUUCAAACAGGCUUUUGACAAAGCCAUUGCAACAGGCUCCUAAUCAGGUCUUGAGACCUAGCCUGCCCUCUCUUUAAACCCGUGAUCUUGAAAAGGAGCUUUAAAUUGGAAAUUAUUACACAUUAAAACCUCAACACGGGCCAGAUCGAAGCGGAUCGAUAUCUUGCCGAGCGCAAUAAAUCAGCCUUCUGCUCUGCGGUUACUGUUUGCUGAACAUAUUUAAAUUUUCUUGUAACAAAUUAAUUCCAACAUUUUCUCUUGAUUGAAUUAGGGCAAGUGUUGGAGCUGUCACAAGUAUUUCACUGCUUCAGGGAGACAAAUUGCUCGUCUGGACAUGGGUAACAAGCCAAAGUGUUGAGUCCCUGAUAAUCUUUCCACUAAUUCUCCAUUACAGCAAAAUGAAGCCAUAAAUCACCGUGACAGAUGAUCGAUGUAAACAUUGUUUCCGCCAUGAUUGCCAGCGCUCCCCGCGGGCUCACUGUCCGCUCUGCAUUCGCUGCGAUUGCAGCCGGGAGCCGCGCUCACACACCAAAGUCACUCCUGUCCAAGAAGUAACCAUCUCAUUUCGGGGCUCAGCCCAAGCGCCCG